rnacentral:lncRNA from 1 species
GGAAGGGAAUGGCAAAGCUUGGGGAGGCUGCUGGGUGACCCGCCAGGGCAGGGCCCAAGUCUAGACUGGCCAGGACCUGCUCUAGGCGUUUCUGAUGUAGUGAUAUAGAGGAGCUGAGGCCCCCCAGCCAGGGGCCAGGGGUGUCACCAUGCUGGUCCCAGGACUUCCGGAGACAUCCGAGGGAUGAGCUCACUCCCACUGCAGGGUUGCUCAGCUGGCACAUGAGAGUCUGAAGUGUCUG